CAAUAGCGUAUAUUAAAGUUGUUGCGGUUAAAAAGCUCGUAGUUGGAUUUCUGCCGAGGACGACCGGUCCGCCCUCUGGGUGAGUAUCUGGCUUGGCCUGGGCAUCUUCUUGGAGAACGUAGCUGCACUUGACUGUGUGGUGCGGUAUCCAGGACUUUUACUUUGAGGAAAUUAGAGUGUUUCAAGCAGGCAUGCGCCUUGAAUACAUUAGCAUGGAAUAAUAAGAUAGGACCUCGGUUCUAUUUUGUUGGUUUCUAGAGCUGAGGUAAUGAUUAAUAGUAGUAGUUAGGGUGGGGCUACGUUACGUUUAACUUUAACUUCGUACGAAGGUAGGGUAAAGUUAAACUUUUCGGUUAGGUUUAGUUUUUAAAGGUUAAAACGGGAACCGGUAACCUUACGU
rnacentral:rRNA from 1 species